rnacentral:rRNA from 1 species
UGGCGGACGGGUGAGUAAUGUCUGGGAAACUGCCUGAUGGAGGGGGAUAACUACUGGAAACGGUAGCUAAUACCGCAUAACGUCGCAAGACCAAAGAGGGGACCUUCGGGCCUCUUGCCAUCGGAUGUGCCCAGAUGGGAUUAGCUAGUAGGUGGGGUAACGGCUCACCUAGGCGACGAUCCCUAACUGGUCUGAGAGGAUGACCAGCCACACUGGAACUGAGACACGGUCCAG